rnacentral:rRNA from 1 species
CCUACGGGAGGCAGCAGUAGGGAAUAUUGCUCAAUGGGGGAAACCCUGAAGCAGCAACGCCGCGUGGAGGAUGAAGGUUUUCGGAUUGUAAACUCCUUUUGUUAGAGAAGAUAAUGACGGUAUCUAACGAAUAAGCACCGGCUAACUCCGUGCCAGCAGCCGCGGUAAUACGGAGGGUUCAAGCGUUACUCGGAAUCACUGUGCGUAAAGAGCGCGGAGGCGGGAUAGCAAGUCAGAUGUGAAAUCCUAUGGCUUAACCAUAGAACUGCAGUUGAAACUGUGAUUCUAGAGUAUGGGAGAGGUAGGUGGAAUUCUUUGUGUAGGGGUAAAAUCCGUAGAGAUCAAGAGGAAUACU